CCGCACUCGCGCCCCCACCCACCCACUCUCCUCUCUUCCCCGAUCCCCUCCCACUCGAGCCGGAGCCCCUCCCUCCUCUUCGUGCCGCCGGCCGUCGUGGCGACGCAGAGCAAGGCGCCGAGCCGCGGGAGGUCGCCGUGCACGUGGAGCACCCAGAGAAAAAGCGGGCAGCGAGAGAAGAAAGACCUAGCCCGCGUCUCCUCGUCCCCUCUUGCCGCCUCCGGCUCCUCUCCUCUCCCCCGGUUCACCUUGAUGCGCCUGGCCGCGGUGAUGGUGGCGUGACGGAGCUCGCGCGAGGGCUUCGAAUUUGAGGUGCCAGCCAUCUCCUGUAACGUACGCCGCUCGUGCUCGCGUGAACUGAGGGGUCCUCUUCUGCUGCUGCUCCGUCUGCAUCCUCCUCUGCCUCUUCUUCUCGUCAGUUGACGGCCACGACUUUGGCCAUGGAUCCCAGCAGCUUCAAAAACGGAGGGCAUUUUCUAUAUUGUUCAGCUGCAGCUUAGGAUGCCAUGAGUUGAUAGCUAAGCCUUCUGCUUCCAACCAUUGAGAGGCGUUGCACUUCGCCUCCAUCUGUCAUUGUGAUCGGUGGCGGAAUCUCAGGGAUUGCUGCGGCUCAUGUCCUCUCCAAUUCCUCUUUUCAGGUACUGACAAAAUCCUGAUCUGUCUGCUGUUCCUCUAAUUAGAUGAUGCCCAUGCUGCCUGAGCAGGUGACUGUCCUUGAGUCGAGAGAUCGAAUUGGUGACCAUGUUCAUACGGAUUACUACUUUGGAUGCCCCAUCUACAUGGGAGCCUCAUGGUUGCACGGUGUCAGUAAUGAGAUUUCUUUAGCACCAUUGAUUGGCCAGCUAAAAAAGUACUACUGGCUAAGGAGAGCAGCUUGUCUGAAUUUCGAGCAGUUGGUGGUCAGGUUGAACUCUGAAUGAAGGGUGGCAACCUACUGAUUGGAACUAUUUUGCGGUCACUGGAAAUUGAAGAUUAGUAUUUUUACCCAGGGAGUCGUGUACCAAGGUACUUGGCAAGGUCCUUCAUCAACAGUAUGCAAACCAAAGAAAUCCCCGCUCCUGCUCGAAAGAAUAGUUCACAAACUAAAGGCGCCCCACUAAAGAAAAGUUACAGCGAGGAAAGGUUUUUGAAGCAUCAGAUGAUUUUGACGAAUUUGGAACACCUAUGCUAAAAGAGAGGAGUAUAUCAGAUUAUUUUAGUUCCCAAGAUGUUUUACCUAUUGGCCUCCCUUCCUUGCAAACCCUGCAUUUAGUCGAAUUCCUGGUUUGCUACCAGACAGUGAAAUUAAAAUGAUUGGAUUCACUUCCGAAGGAAGUGGUACUUCCGAUAGUUUUGUGAAAGCUCGGAUUGUUAUAUAUGAUCAGCAGUCUCUCCAGUACAACAACUUGGACACCGGGGUAAAUAUCUCAAUAUCUAAAAAUUAUUCAGUACUUAA